UGGCCCAAGCUUGAUCAACGCACAGAACUAAAAGCCCAGCCCAUGUGACAUCGUGGCUUUGCCCUGUGCCGUUUGUUUUGCCCUGCCAUCAAUCAGAAUCAUCAGAUCGGCAUCCGAUCAGAUCGACCGUGUAUCUGCGUCUCGCUGCUAUAUGGGAGUCUAGGUCUAGUGCACUUCCCGUGGCCACUUGCCGCCGUUCGCCUCGCCGCCGUCCACAAUCACAUACAAGCACACGGAGACGGAGGGACGCCAAGAGAUUGGAGACCUGCUGUGAGCAUCUAUGUAUAUCUGUCCAUUUAGUAGUCCUGCAACGGCGGCCUCUUUUUGCCGUCGCCGGCAUUCCCCACGCAGAUGGCGCCGUUAAGCGAAUUCUCUGGCUAUCGUUUCUAAAGAGGGAAUGACACAGAUGGACAACAAACAAAGCAUCAUCACUGCGCGGAUACAUGGUAUGGAUGAAACCAGCUUCUUCUUGGGGACGAUGGUCAAACUGAAGGGGUGAGUGACGCCGGAACAGUUCGUAGGGGAUGCAGUAGGCUCAAAGACAAGUAUGACCUGAGGGUUGAAGGUGUGGCUAUGGAGAGGGCAGCGGCAAGGGAUGAUCAUGGUAGCGGCAAUGGGCGAUCAUGUAAGUAUGUAACUCAUCUAUCCCCGAGCUGCUUGAUAAUAACCCCUCUCUGUUAACCAUGUCUCUUGUAUUGGGAUUGAUCCCAGGUUAUACCAUUGAUACGAUCGGGCAUAAUAUUGAUUUUUCAUGAAGAAAAAAAGGGAAAUUACUAGAUUAGAUAUGAUGUUAUAUACUCCCUCCAUUCCUUUAUAUAAGGUGUAUUUGUUUUUUGAUAAAAUUCCACAAUGUAAGGUGCAUUUCUUCUAAUUCCUCGUAAUUCCAUCAUUACCCCUUCAAAAGAAGGAGAGUAUCUCUCCUCAUUGCAUGUAUCUUUUCUUGUAAAGAGAAAAGAGGAAAGUAUCUCUCUCCUGAUUGUGUUU